UUGCAUGUCCUUUAUACGUGUGGAGACGCACGCACAAAGUGCGAGAUCAAUUCGUACCGCUCGUGCACGCGGCUGUGGAAAGUGCCACGCCAGAUUCUCAUACAUUUCCAACUUGAUUGGCGUCUCUUUUUGCGACUGUUGAUAGAUUCUGAUAGGUACAUUGCUGUACAUAUGUGGAAACUAUUAUAUCUCAUCCUAUUUGUCCAUACGAUUUCCUAUCACAGACCGGUGGUGAAGGGAAAGGCAGCAAGUUAAAGCACCCAAUCCAUUUUGCUUUGCCUACAACUGCAGCCUAUCUUUGUUGGUGGGUCUCUCCUGUGGUGAUGAGCAAGCAGAGGUGGACUGUGGAAGUCGAAAUCCUCUUUGGAGGCUCCAAAACCAGCACGGAAAGGUGGACGUCGCUCAUGGUUUCUGCAACUUGGCCAAAACCAGAUUCAGCUUUCGAGCUGGACAAGCAAAUCCAAAGCACAAGUUGGUACCCUCCCCGUAAUAUUUCGUUUGGCAAAGCUUACCAAGUUGAGCUCGCCAAGGAGCAUGGAAGAUCCACAGUGAGCUAAUUGAUUCCCCCAAACCGCAGCACGCCAAUCACAUCCCCUCUUCGUGGCC
rnacentral:lncRNA from 1 species